rnacentral:lncRNA from 1 species
GAUCAUUGGAAUGUGAGCAGAAGUGAUGAAUUGCAUUUCCAGACCAGAUAUCUAAAAAUAUUCCUGAGUUCCUUUAUGCUUUCUCUCUUUCCCAUCUGCUGUCUGAAUGCAGACAAUUCAGCAGAGGACUCCAAGACCCAAGGCGAUGAUGGAACCAGGAGAUAUGAAGACGCAGGGUCCCUGAAUCACCACUUGAAAGCAGACAUCUAGAAGACCCAAUGGAACGGGUACCCCAUACUGUUUGGUUGUUCCUGCUGCUGAAAUAUGGUCUGACUGCUUUGCUGUAUCAUUCGGGAAAGCACCAGCAGAAUAUGACUCAAGGCAAACAGUUUCACAGUCUCAUUGAUGUAAAGAGCAGAAGAAUUCAUCUUUUGGGUUGUUUACUGUUCUGAAUAGCAAUCAGUAGUUUGCACUUGUAGGUAAAAGCUAAACAUACCAUAAAUGUAUUCCCUGUUAGUAUUUAUUGGGGAAAAAAAAGAUCUUGGGGUCAGACUGAGUUCUAGAAAGUUUCUUAACUCAAUCUGCACUUUAUCUUCUUUAGAUAUUUA